rnacentral:rRNA from 1 species
AAAUUGAAGAGUUUGAUCAUGGCUCAGAUUGAACGCUGGCGGCAGGCCUAACACAUGCAAGUCGAACGGUAACAGGAAGCAGCUUGCUGCUUCGCUGACGAGUGGCGGACGGGUGAGUAAUGUCUGGGAAGCUGCCUGAUGGAGGGGGAUAACUACUGGAAACGGUGGCUAAUACCGCAUAACGUCGCAAGACCAAAGAGGGGGACCU